rnacentral:lncRNA from 1 species
AUGACAGUAGCAAACCAGGUUUUUGUUUUAACUUUACUAGCGGAAGACAUGGCAGAGUGUGUGGGUGGCCCAGGGUCUUUCUGGACCAUCCCUCAGAGUGGACGCGACGCCGCCUUCUGGCUCCUGCACUACAUGGUCCUUGGUUCUACAGAUAAUCUGCAUCAUCACUGCGCUUACGGCAGCUGUACCUUGUGGCCGCGGAGCGGUCUGAGGAGUAGAGGAGCCCGUAGUUUUCUUCGGCCACACGGGUCUAACCUGCUGGGUGCCAGCAGCAGACGCGGCGGGAGCCUGGGGCUUUGGUCGUCGCGGGAUGCAGAAGGAGGGAUUAGCCGGCCUGUUGAAACCCGCUUGGGCCAAGUUGGACCUCGGAGUCGACUGAGUGGCGGGCAUCUCACACGGGAGACAGAGCUGAAGGGCUUCAUCAUCUGGUUUUUUUGCUUCGCACCACUGUUGCAUUAAGGUAAGAGCAGAGCCAAAAAUCCCCUCUG